rnacentral:rRNA from 1 species
UACGUAGGGACCAAGCGUUGUUCGGAUUUACUGGGCGUAAAGGGCGCGUAGGCGGCUUAACAAGUCACUUGUGAAAUCUCCGGGCUUAACUCGGAACGGCCAAGUGAAACUGUCAAGCUAGAGUGCAGAAGGGGCAAUCGGAAUUCUUGGUGUAGCGGUGAAAUGCGUAGAUAUCAAGAGGAACACCUGAGGUGAAGACGGGUUGCUGGGCUGACACGUGACGCUGAGGCGCGAAAGCCAGGGGAGCAAACGGG